GAGAAGUGAUCAAGCUUGGGCUGACAAGAGGCUCAGGGAGCCCUCACGUUCUUUCGCUUUUUUACCUGCCAAUCAAACUGCUACAAGACAACACCCUGAUCUGGCAUGGACAUUCUCAAUACCUUCACAGAGGUGAAGAAGCAGCAACCAAAUGAAUUAGACAGCAACAUGAUUCCUAGAGAAUGGCAAGACCAAUUCUUCAACUACUUCUUCAGCAUUUCUGAAACAUAUGGAAGAUGGCCCAUUGUGCUCUCUUAAUUCUUUGAUAAUCUGGACAUUGACUUUUCCAUUAUAUGACCUGGGCUUGUGGGCAUCAUGUCAUAAUGCACCUGUUCAGACAUCUCCCUGUACCAAUAUGGAUCACUUGAAGAGACUCCUUUGCCCCCAUCAAAAAGGAUACAGUUGUGUAUCUCUUCCAUUUUUGUUUACAGUGCCUAAAAUUAUUUGAGCAGUUUUUCACCUCUUCUCUGAUAAACACCUUAUUAGUCCUUAAAAAGAAAAGAAAAAAGGAAAAUAAAACUUUUAUUGAGAUCCUAA
rnacentral:lncRNA from 1 species